rnacentral:rRNA from 1 species
CCUACGGGAGGCAGCAGUGGGGAAUAUUGCACAAUGGGCGCAAGCCUGAUGCAGCCAUGGCGCGUGUGUGAAGAAGGCCUUCGGGUUGUAAAGCACUUUCAGCGGGGAGGAAGGCGGUGAGGUUAAUAACCUCAUCGAUUGACGUUACCCGCAGAAGAAGCACCGGCUAACUCCGUGCCAGCAGCCGCGGUAAUACGGAGGGUGCAAGCGUUAAUCGGAAUUACUGGGCGUAAAGCGCACGCAGGCGGUCUGUCAAGUCGGAUGUGAAAUCCCCGGGCUCAACCUGGGAACUGCAUUCGAAACUGGCAGGCUAGAGUCUUGUAGAGGGGGGUAGAAUUCCAGGUGUAGCGGUGAAAUGCGUAGAGAUCUGGAGGAAUACCGGUGGCGAAGGCGGCCCCCUGGACAAAGACUGACGCUCAGGUGCGAAAGCGUGGGGAGCAAACAGGAUUAGAUACCCGAGUAGUC